GGGGCGUGGGAUACCGGCGAGGAGGCGGCCCGGGAGAUGAUAUCCUUUUUGAAACGAUAAUUUUGCGAACGAUAAAAAAUGCCAU
rnacentral:sRNA from 16 species